AUAUUGAUUUGGCAGAUUAGUGCAUUAAAUUUAGAAUUUAAAUAUGUAUGUUACAGUCAAUA
rnacentral:tRNA from 1 species